AGAGUUUGAUCAUGGCUCAGAUUGAACGCUGGCGGCAGGCCUAACACAUGCAAGUCGAACGGUAACAGGAAGCAGCUUGCUGCUUUGCUGACGAGUGGCGGACGGGUGAGUAAUGUCUGGGAAACUGCCUGAUGGAGGGGGAUAACUACUGGAAACGGUAGCUAAUACCGCAUAACGUCGCAAGACCAAAGAGGGGGACCUUCGGGCCUCUUGCCAUCGGAUGUGCCCAGAUGGGAUUAGCUAGUAGGUGGGGUAAAGGCUCACCUAGGCGACGAUCCCUAGCUGGUCUGAGAGGAUGACCAGCCACACUGGAACUGAGACACGGUCCAGACUCCUACGGGAGGCAGCAGUGGGGAAUAUUGCACAAUGGGCGCAAGCCUGAUGCAGCCAUGCCGCGUGUAUGAAGAAGGCCUUCGGGUUGUAAAGUACUUUCAGCGGGGAGGAAGGGAGUAAAGUUAAUACCUUUGCUCAUUGACGUUACCCGCAGAAGAAGCACCGGCUAACUCCGUGCCAGCAGCCGCGGUAAUACGGAGGGUGCAAGCGUUAAUCGGAAUUACUGGGCGUAAAGCGCACGCAGGCGGUUCGUUAAGUCAGAUGUGAAAUCCCCGGGCUCAACCUGGGAACUGCAUCUGAUACUGGCAAGCUUGAGUCUCGUAGAGGGGGGUAGAAUUCCAGGUGUAGCGGUGAAAUGCGUAGAGAUCUGGAGGAAUACCGGUGGCGAAGGCGGCCCCCUGGACGAAGACUGACGCUCAGGUGCGAAAGCGUGGGGAGCAAACAGGGUUAGAUACCCUGGUAGUCCA
rnacentral:rRNA from 1 species